rnacentral:tmRNA from 1 species
GGGGAUGAUCGGUUUCGACAUCGGUCGCCGUCCCAGGGGAAGCGGGCCGAGGAUGCAGAGUUAUCUCGUUAACGCUCUCUGCAAACCCAUAGGUGCCGAUUCCAAGCGCACCGACUUCGCCCUCGCCGCCUGAGCGAGUCCGAAGUCUGUCAGCCUGAGCUAGUUCUCGACUCAGUGUCUGGCAUCAGCUAGAGAACUUGCUGCAACGUCUUGUCGAGGGGCGUUGUGGGACUCUCACUCGACUGGGCCUGUCGCGGAAUGUGUCAUUCCUUGCCGCGGGGCCGAGAAAAUCCACAGAAUGACUGCGCCCGGAGAAGCCCUGGAUCGCCGUCGAUGGACGGGGGUUCAAUUCCCCCCAUCUCCACCA